rnacentral:lncRNA from 1 species
ACCCGAAACCCGAAAACCCAAAACCCUAAACCCUAAACCCGAAAAACCCGAAACCCGAAACCCGAAACCCGAAACCCGAAAACCCGAAAAACCCGAAACCCGAAACCCGAAAACCCGAAACCCGAACCCGAAACCCGAAACCGAAACCCUAAACCCGAAACCCUAAACCACCCGAAAAAACCCGAAACCCGAAACCCGAAACCCGAAACCCUAAACCCAAAAACCCGAAACCCGAAACCCGAAACCCGAAAAACCCUAACCCGAAAACCCGAAACCCGAAACCCUAAACCCGAAAACCCGAAACCCUAAAACCCGAAACCCGAAACCCGAAAACCCUAAACCCUAACCCGAAACCCGAAACCCGAACCCUAAACCCGAAACCCGAAACCCAAAAACCCUAAACCCGAAACCCGAAACCCGAAACCCGAAACCCGAAACCCGAAACCCGAAACCCGAAACCUAAACCCGAAACCCUAAACCCUAAACCCGAAACCCGAAACCAACCGAAAAACCCUAAACCCUAAACCCGAAACCCGAAACCCGAAACCCUAAACCCGAAACCCGAAAACCCUAAACCCGAAACCCGAAAAACCCUAAAAAACCCUAAACCCUAACCCGAAACCCGAAACCAAAACCCAAACCCGAAACCCGAAACCCGAAACCCGAAAACCCGAAACCCGAAACCCGAAACCCUAAACCCUAAACCCGAAAAAACCCGAAACCCUAAACCCUAAAAACCCUAAACCCGAACCCUAAACCCGAAACCCUAAACCCGAAACCCUAAACCCGAAACCGAAACCCGAAAAAAACCCGAAACCCGAACGAAACCCGAAACCCGAAACCCGAAACCCGAAAACCCGAAACCCUAAAAACCCGAAACCCGAAACCCUAACCCGAAACCCCCGAAACCCGAAACCCGAAACCCGAAACCAAACCCGAAACCCUAAACCCUAAACCCUAAAACCCGAAACCCUAAACCCGAAACCCGAAAACCCGAAACCCGAAAAACCCGAAACCCGAAAAACCCGAAACCCUAAACCCGAAACCCGAAACCCUAAACCCGAACCCGAACCCGAAACCCUAAACCCGAAACCCGAACCCGAAACCCGAAACCCGAAACCCUAACCCGAAACCCGAAACCCGAAACCCUAAAAAACCCGAAACCCUAAACCCGAAACCCUAAACCCGAAAACCCUAACCCGAAACCCGAACCCGAAACCCGAACCCAACCCGAAACCCGAAACCCUAAACCCGAAACCCGAAACCAAACCCUAAACCCUAAACCCGAAAACCCGAAACCCUAAACCCGAAACCCGAAACCCGAAACCCGAAACCCGAAAACCCGAAACCCGAAACCCUAAAACCCGAACCCUAAAAACCCGAAACCCUAAACCCAAACCCGAACCCGAAACCCGAAACCCGAAACCCGAAACCCGAAACCCGAACCCUAACCCGAAACCCGAAACCCGAAACCCUAAACCCGAAACCCGAAACCCAAAACCCGAAACCCGAAACCCGAAACCAAACCCGAAACCCGAAACCCGAACCCGAAACCCGAAACCCGAAACCCGAAACCCGAAACCCGAAACCCGAAAACCUAAACCCGAAACCCGAAACCCUAAAAACCCGAAACCCGAAACCCUAAACCCGAAACCCGAAACCCGAAACCCUAAACCCGAAACCCUAAACCCGAACCCGAAAAACCCUAAAACCCGAAAACCCAAACCCGAAAACCGAAACCCUAAACCCGAACCCUAAACCCGAAACCCGAAAAACCCGAAACCCGAAACCCGAACCCGAAACCCGAAACCCUAAACCCGAAACCAACCCUAAACCCUAAACCCGAAACCCUAAACCCGAACCCGAAACCCGAAAACCCGAAACCGAACCCGAAACCCGAAACCCUAAAAACCCUAACCCGAAACCCGAACCCGAACCCUAAAACCCGAAACCGAAACCCAAACCCGAAACCCGAAACCCGAAACCCGAAACCCUAAAACCCGAAAAAACCCUAAACCCUAACCCUAAACCCGAAACCCUAAACCCGAAACCCGAACCCUAACCCUAAACCCUAAACCCGAAAAACCCGAAACCCGAAACCCUAAACCCGAACCCAAAACCCUAAACCCGAAACCCGAAACCCGAAAAACCCUAAACCCGAAAACCCUAAACCCGAACCCGAACCCUAAACCCUAACCCGAAACCCGAAACCCGAAACCCGAAACCCGAAACCCUAAACCCGAAACCCAAACCCUAAACCCUAAAAAACCCUAAACCCUAAACCCUAAACCCUAAACCCGAAACCCUAAACCCGAAACCCGAAACCCGAAAACCCUAAACCCGAACCCGAAACCCUAACCCGAAACCCGAAACCCGAAAACCCGAAACCCGAAACCCGAAACCCGAAACCCGAAAACCCGAACCCGAAACCCUAACCCGAAAAACCCUAAACCCGAAAACCGAACCUAAACCCGAAACCAACCCGAAAACCCGAAACCCUAAACCCAAACCCGAAACCCGAAACCCUAAAACCCGAAACCCGAAAAAAACCCUAACCCGAAAAAACCCUAAACCCGAACCCUAAACCCUAAACCCCGAAACCCGAAACCCUAAACCCUAAACCCUAAACCCGAAACCCGAACCCGAACCCGAAACCCUAAACCCUAAACCCGAAACCCUAACCCUAAACCCUAAAACCCGAAACCCUAAACCCGAAACCCAAAACCCGAAAAAAACCCUAACCCGAACCCGAAACCCGAAACCCGAAACCCGAAACCCAAACCCGAAACCCGAAACCCGAAACCCGAAAACCCUAAACCCGAAACCCGAAACCCAAACCCGAAAAACCCUAAACCCGAAACCCGAAACCUAAACCCUAAACCCGAACCCUAACCCUAAACCCGAAAAACCCUAAACCCGAAACCCUAAACCCGAAAACCCUAAACCCGAACCCGAAACCCUAAACCCUAAACCCGAAACCGAACCCUAAAACCCGAAAAAAACCCAAAACCCUAAACCCGAAAAAACCCUAACCCGAAACCCGAAAACCCGAAAAAAACCCGAAACCCUAAAACCCUAAACCCUAAACCCUAAAACCCGAAACCCGAACCCGAAAACCCGAAACCCGAAACCCUAACCCGAAAACCCGAAACCGAAAAACCCUAAAACCCGAAACCCGAACCCGAAAAACCCUAAACCCGAAACCCGAAAACCCUAAACCCGAAACCCGAAACCCUAAACCCUAAACCUAAAAAAAACCCUAAACCCGAAACCCGAACCCGAAACCCGAAACCCGAACCCGAAACCCGAAAAACCAAACCCGAACCCGAAACCCGAAACCAAACCCGAAACCCGAAACCCGAACCCGAACCCGAAACCCGAAAACCCGAAACCGAACCCGAAACCCGAAACCCGAAACCCUAAACCCUAAAAAACCCUAAACCCGAAACCCGAAACCCAACCCGAAACCCGAAACCCUAACCCGAAACCCGAACCCGAAACCAACCCUAAACCCGAAACCCGAAACCCUAACCCUAAAACCCGAAACCCGAAACCCUAAACCCGAAACCCUAAACCCGAAACCCGAACCCGAAAACCCUAAACCCUAAACCCGAAACCCUAAACCCGAACCCGAAACCCGAAAACCCGAACCCGAAAACCCGAACCCGAACCCGAAACCCUAACCAAACCCUAAACCCUAAACCCGAAAACCGAAACCCUAAACCCUAACCCGAAACCCGAAACCCGAAAACCCUAACCCGAAACCCGAAACCGAAACCCGAAACCCGAAACCCGAAACCCGAAACCCUAAACCCGAAACCCGAAACCCUAAACCCGAACCCUAAACCCGAAACCCUAAACCCUAAAACCCGAAACCCGAACCCUAAACCCGAAACCCGAAACCCGAAACCCGAAACCCGAACCCGAAACCCUAAACCCGAAAACCCGAAACCCGAAAACCCGAAACCCUAAACCCGAAACCCGAAACCCGAAAAAACCCGAAACCCGAAACCCGAAACCCGAACCCGACCCGAAACCCUAAACCCGAAACCCGAAACCCGAAACCCGAAACCCGAAACCCGAAACCCUAAACCCGAAACCCUAAACCCGAAACCCGAAACCCUAAACCCGAAACCCGAAAACCCGAAAACCCGAAACCCGAACCCUAAACCCUAAACCCGAAACCCGAAAACCCGAAACCCGAAACCCGAAACCCGAAACCCGAAACCCGAAACCCUAAACCCGAAAACCCGAAACCCUAAACCAAAACCCGAAACCCGAACCCGAAACCCGAAACCCGAACCCGAAAAAACCCGAAACCCGAAACCCGAAACCCUAAAAACCCUAAACCCUAAACCAACCCGAACCCGAACCCGAAACCCGAAAACCCGAAACCCGAAACCCGAAACCCUAAACCCGAAACCCGAACCCGAAACCCGAACCGAAAAAAACCCGAAACCCGAAACCCGAAAACCCAACCAACCCGAAACCCUAAACCCGAAACCCGAAACCCGAAACCCGAAACCCUAAACCCGAAACCCGAACCCGAACCCGACCCAAAACCCGAAACCCGAAACCCGAAAACCCGAAACCCGAAACCCUAAACCCGAAACCCGAACCCGAAACCCGAAAACCCGAAACCCUAAACCAACCCGAAACCCUAAACCCGAAACCGAAACCCGAAACCCGAAAACCCGAAACCCUAAACCCGAAACCCGAAACCCUAAAACCCGAAACCCGAAACCCGAAAACCCGAACCCGAAACCCGAAAACCCGAAAACCCGAAACCCGAAACCCGAAACCCGAAACCCGAAAAACCCGAAACCCGAAACCCUAAACCCGAAACCCGAACCCGAAACCCGAAACCCGAAACCCGAAACCCGAAACCCGAAACCCGAAACCCGAAACCCGAACCCGAAACCCGAAACCCUAAAACCCGAAACCCUAAACCCGAACCCGAAACCCAAACCCGAAACCCGAAACCCGAAACCCUAACCAAC